rnacentral:snRNA from 1 species
AUGCCAACUUUGGCUGUAUUUAUAAAAAUUGGAAUAAUCUAGAGAAGGCUAGCAUUGCCCCCUCAGAAGGACAGCAAGCACAUUUGUGAAGUGUUCCACAGAUUC